UUUUUUUUUUUUUUUUUUUUUUGUGUUUAAGUAGACAGAAAUUCUUCUUCAACUCCACAUUCCACAGAGAUCUCAAGCAACUGAAAAGCUUCUUGAGGAUUAAUCCAGUGCGAUAUUGCGAUGAAUGGGUCACAGAGCAUAUGUAAUUCAGCAACAACGGGGUCAUACCAGUGCUCUGGAGGGGUUUCCUGCGGGCACUGAGGCAGACAUUCGGUUCCUCGACGGUCUCUCAAGGGAUGCGAUCUACUCUAGGGAUUGUUAUUCGAGCGAUCAUGGGGUUGCUAGGCCUGCAAGAUUUGCUGGUCGUAAUGAUGAUAACUUUCUACCUUUAGACUAUCACCAGCAUUGUACUUCUCAGAGUACUCGAAGUAGGGAAGAGAGCCAUGACUAUGGAUGAGCCAUCCAUCUAUGGUUCUGAUUUCAGAAGACGUAACACAUAUGAUAGUUGGGAGAGAGAUCAAUUUCCAGGUUGGAGACGAGAACAUCCUUGGCCUCGUGGACAUGACUAUCACCAGAGAUCGAGGUCUCCUCGUGUUCGCAGCCACAACCGAAGCGACCGAGAUGUCACCUAUGACCAUAAACGAAACCAUGAACAUUCUUCAGUGGUUCCAUCUGCUACAGUUAUAGUAAUGGGUUUGUCGAGAAAGACAACUGUGGAAUAUCUUCAUCAGAUCCUGUGCCCCACUGAGUCUGGAAGAAACCUAGUGGAAAGUCGUCUGGUCCUGGUGCCUUCCAUGGAUGCAUCCUUUGUAGAGCUUUGAGGAUUUCUGUAUCAUCUGGAAUGCUAGUAAGUGCAACAUUUUCAGCUUCUGUGAUGCACUUUGGUGAGAGGCUAAAGAGCUCUUCAUUAUUAUCUGAUAUAAAUUUUACACUUAUCCUAACUUCACCCUUUGUUGCUUUGUUUUUUUUUUAUAUAUAAUUUUUUUUACUAUAACCGAAAUUUUUUACUACACCAUCACUUAAAAAAUGUCAAGUAUGUCAAGGUAAGUUCUUAAAAAUUAUUUUUCCUUUCUAACUUUAUUUGAUUCUGAUACUGU